CCUACGGGUGGCAGCAGUGAGGAAUAUUGGUCAAUGGGCGCAAGCCUGAACCAGCCAAGUCGCGUGAGGGAUGACGGUCCUAUGGAUUGUAACCCUCUUUUGUCGGGGAGCAAGGCCCGCCACGUGUGGCGGGAAGGAGAGUACCCGACGACAAAGCAUCGGCUAACUCCGUGCCCGCAGCCGCGGUAAUACGGAGGUUGCGCGCGUUAUCCGGAUUUAUUGGGGUUAAAGGGGGCGUGGGCGGAAGGUUAAGUCAGCGGUAAAAUGUCGGUGCUCAACACCGGCCUGCCGUUGAAACUGGUCUUCUUGAGUGAGCGAGAAGUAUGCGGAAUGCGUGGUGUAGCGGUGAAAUGCAUAGAUAUCACGCAGAACUCCGAUUGCGAAGGCAGCAUACCGGCGCGCAACUGACGCUGAGGCACGAAAGCGUGGGGAUCGAACAGGAUUAGAUACCCCUGUAGUC
rnacentral:rRNA from 1 species